UAUUGGAAAGACAACUCUUGCUGACAAAGUAUUUCAUCGAAUCAAGGCUAAAUUUGAUUGUCACUACUUUGCUGCCAGUGUUAGGGAAGAAAAAGAGAAGCAACCACGAACUGUUUUACGAGAUAAAAUCUUUGGUGAAUUGUUACGAGAAGAUGUGCAUAUAGACACACCUAGUUUACCGGAUUUCAUGAAGAGAAGACUUCGAAGUGAAAAGGUACUCAUCGUCUUUGAUGAUGUAGAUGAUCCAGAAGAUAUUGAGUUUUUAGGUGGAAUCUGUGAUUGGUACAAUGAGGGAAGUAGAAUAAUUAUAACCA
rnacentral:misc_RNA from 1 species